AGAAAGCAUGGCUAGGGAGUCCUCAGGAAAUGUACAGUCACGGUGGAAGGCAAAGGGGAAGUAGGCACAUCUUCCCAUGGCAGAGCAGGAGAGAGAGAAAGAGAGAGAGACAGAGAGAGAGAGAGAAGAGGGGAGGUGCUAUACACUUUCAAACAAUCAUAUCUCAUGAGAAUUCUAUCACAAGACAGCACUAGGGGGAUGGUGCUAAACCAUUAGAAACCACCCCCAUGAUCCAAUCACCUCCCACCAGGCCCCACCUCCAUCACUGCGAAUUAUAAUUCGACAUGAGAUUUGGGAGAUGACACAAAACCAAACCAUAUCAGUCUUUAAAGAGUUAAGUUAAAAUAAGCUCUUUAAAGUGGGCCCUAAUCCAGUAUGACUGGUGUUCUUAUAAGAAGAGGAGAUUUGGUCACAGACAUGGUUGCAUGCAGAAUAAAGACUUUUCGAGGACACACUGAGAAGGCAGCCAUCUGCAAAACAAGGAAAGAGUCCUCAGCAGAAACCAGUCCUGCAGACUCCUUGAUCUUGGACUUCCAGCCACUGCAAUUUAAUGGUGCCAAGACCAUCAAUGGGGAAUGGACAGCAUCUUCAAUGAAUGGUGCUGAGAAAACUGGAUAUCUACCUGCUAAAGAACCAACUGGGUCCUUACCUUAUCUUACCUUACCUUAUACUAUAUGUACAAAUCAAUUCAAAUGGAAUAAAGACAUAAAACUAUAAAGCUCCUAGAAGAAAACAUAGGGCAAGAGCUUUAUAACAUUGCAUUUGUCAAUGAUUUCUUGGAUAUGACACCAAAAGCACAAGCAACAAAAGAAAAAAUAGAUAAACUGAACUUCACUGAAAUUGAAGACUUUGUGCCCUAAAGGACCCUUGCAAGAGAGUGAAAAGGCAACCCAAAGAAUGGGAGAAAGUAUUUGCAAAUAACUUUAUCUGGUAAGGAAUUAAUAUCUAGAAUAUAUAAAGAGGUCCUAUAAUUAAAACAAAUGAGCAGCCCAGUUCAAACCUGGUCAAAGGCUCUGAAUAGAUAUUCCUCCAAAGAAGAUAUACAAAUGGCUAAUAAGUACCAAAAGAUGUGCAAUGUCACUAGCCACUAGGGACAUGCAAAUCAAAACCACAACAAGAUACGAUUUCACACUUAUAGGAUUGCCAUUACCAAAAAACAAAAAAUUUAAAAAAAAAACAUAUUGGUAAGGAUGUAAAGACAUUGGAAGCUUUGUACAUUUCUGAUGGGAAGGUAAAAUGGUGCAGUCACUGUGAAAACACUUUGGUAGUUCCCCAAAAAAUUAAACAGAAUUACUAUAUGAUCCAGCAGUUUCACUCGUAGGUAUAUAUCCAAAAGAAAUGAAGAGAGAGAAUCAAACAGACGCCAAUAUUCACAGCAGUAUUAUUCACCAUAGCCAAAAUGUGGAAACAACUCAGAUGUCCACCAACAGAUGACUGAAUAAACAGAAUAUGGUAUAUACAUAGAAUGGAAUAUUAUUCAAGCCUAAAAAGGAAUAAAGUUCUGACACAUGCUACUACAUGAAUGAACCACAAACAUUAUGCUAAGUGAAAUAAGCCAGAUAUAAAAGGACAAAUAUUAUAUGAAUCUACUUACAUGAGGUACCUAGAACGGGCGAAUCCAUAUAGACAGAGGGUCGAAUAGAGAUUACCAGGGGCUGGAGGGAGGAAGGAAUGGGGGUUAAUGUUCAAUAGGUGCAGAGUUUCUGUUUGGGAUGAUUAAAAGUUCUGGAGAUAGAUGACUAUGACGUUUGCACAAAAAUGUAAAUGUACUCAAUGUCAUUGAAUUGUACACUUAAAAGUGUUUAAAAUGGUAAAUGUUAUGUAUAUUUUACCACAAGAAAUAAAAUAUAGACUGGAGGUCCUCAUGUCAUGGAAAAUUGUUUUUCUGUCACUUAGUAUGUAAAGUGGAUGUGUUCUAUUUACUGAAGAGUCUUCGAGAUCAGGGAGGAAAGACAGAAUUCAUAGAAAAGAGACAGCACCUGAAUUUUCCAGUGCCCCCUGCAGCCCUUACUCAUGCUCAUCAAUCUAAGGUUUUCUGCAAUCAAUUUUCUUCUUUCCCCCUUUCAAAUGCUUUUCAUGAUGGCAAAUAAGGAUGUCAAGCUUCAGCACCCUUGCAUCUCUGGAUAAAUGAAAUGUCACCCCAGCUGCCGUCCUUGUUCAGAUCUGUGCAAUAAAGAGCAAAGCAUAAAACCAAGUCAAGGCUUUGAGGGAGUGACCUACAAAAUGCAUAAUGUGAAACAAUGCAAAAGCGAAAGGUGCAAAAUCCCCAUCAAAGAGCUGGAGGCUGACAGAUGCGCCAGUGAUAAUUCCCAUCUUCCAACACAGGAGCACAGCUUCCAUUUUCCAUAACAGAACAACAGCCAGAGCAGCUGGAAGGCAGGGCCGCAUCCCAGACUUCCACCAACAAUGGGAUGAGACUUGACAUCUGGAAUCACAACCACAACAGACCUGAGAGACCCACCAGCUUGAUGACAAGCUUCUUCUUUCAAAGAAAGGUAUCAGUCUGGGGGACCUAGUGCUGCAAACCAUGACAAAUUAAGUGUGGCAUCCCUCACUUGCAUAAUGGAACUCAGUGAUAUUUUUUAAUUAACAAGAGUUAUUUUUAUGUAAGCUUCUCUCAUUCCUCCACUGUGCGUGCUCGGGGGCUGGUGGUGAGGAAAAAGAAAACAGCUGUGCGGGAAGCAUCAAGAAAAGGCAAGUCAUGAAGUCUUAGAGAUCAGUGACAUGUAAGAAAAAGAGUGAGGAGAAAAAUAUUCCUACUAAAGUUUUCCAUUUGUUUACCUUCCUUGUCACAUAGACUUCCAAGAGUUAGAAGUCUAGGAUUUGAUCUCCAAAUCUUCCUGGCAGAUUACUCAUCUUCAUUUCAUUCAUAUAGUCCAGGGGUUUGUACAAAGGAAGAUGCCAGUUCUUCCCCAAUCAUAACUAAGAUAUCAAGAGAUAUUCUUUUGAAAUGUAACAAAGGAGAUCUGAAGUUCAUCUGAAAAAAAUAAAUGGCACAUUUUUACCUAAUAAAGGAAGGUGGUAUGGAGCAAGCGAAUGUGACUGUCAGUCAAGCAAGCUUGAUGCAUCAUUCCCCGCUUCCACACCUCCAUGCCCCAACACAAUCCCUGACCUUCCUCUGCCCACUGGAGCACCCCACCUGGACUGUGUGUGCCACAGUUCCCUUCAUUAGCUCCCCCCACACACUAGCUUUCACAUGGACACUCCCUGAGCAAGUAGCGCUGAGCUGAGCCCAGCCCUCUUCCUCCCCAUUUCCGGUAAGUUUUAGGCGGUCAUGACCAUGGGAUGCUGGACCAGGAUGGUAAGCUUCAGGAAACAGAAUCUGGAGAAUGCCCAGCUGCUCCCACAGGAAGCAUCAGGGAAGAAGAAGAAGAGGUGUGAAGUCUGCCUUCUGCUCUGCUGGGAUCCCUUUCACAUCUCCUUUGCCUCCAGGCAGUUUUGGUUCCUGGCCAUUUCCAGGUGUGACUCACUCAGGAUGGUAAGCAUCUUCUCUCCUACCCAGAGUAGAGGAUGAAGACCUCAUCUCAGAGGUUGAAGGGAGCUCCAGAGAGAGGUCUCAAACUUCCAGCAUUAACUGCUAAAGAAGCUUCAUGAGCUGCUGGAGAACCUGGGAAAUGACCAAUUAUAGGGACAGAGCUCAAAUACUCUGGGACACUCUAGUAGCUGAGAAAGUUCCAACUCCAGGGUGAUAGAGGACUGCCUGGCAAACCAUCAUCAAAGCAGAAGACCUGAUACUAACAUCACAGGCUAUGGUUUAUUACUGAAGAUCAGUGCUUACACCCUGCCAGAGGUUCAGAAGCAAACUUAUCAUUGUUCUCCCUGGAGAUGUUGGCCCACAUUCUGAAAAGUGUGGUCAGUAGUAGCAACAGAAAGCAAUUGUGCUUGCCAAGCACAAUGUCACUGUCCCCAGCCCUUCCCCCAACACAACCCAGUAGGUGCUUCCUGGCUGCAAACUUGGGAAAGUCACUUGACCUGUCUGAGGUUCCACUUCCUAAUCUGGCCUGGCGAAGAUAAGAAAAACAGUUUAUUUAAAGUGUCUAGCAAAGUGCUUGGACCAAAAUAGGACCUCUGAAAUGGUUAUGGUAGUGCUGUUAAGGUGAUGUUUUAAGUGCUGAUGAGCACAAAGAUGGGUAAGAUAUUCCUUCUGUUAAAAUCUACAGUCUAAUGAGAGAGAACAAGAUGAAUGCACAAUAACUGUCAUUCAGAACAGGAUUAUGAGAAGGUGUGAAUUUCUGUGAAAAAUCAGAACAGGGAGUAAUAUGAUCCCAGGUGAUUGGCAGGGGGUGGGGGUCUGGAUUCAACUGGAGAGGGAGCUGGCAGGGAAGGCUUCCUGGAGGAUGAGAGUUCAACAAGGGGCAGGUGUAGGAUGUGGGUGGCCAAGUGACUGGGCAGAAGGAGCUGCAGAAGUAAGACCCCAAAUCAGGAAGACAAGGGCCUGCUGAGAAACACGAGCUACAAAGUGCAAGUGCAGGAAGAGUUGGGAUGAGAUUAGAAGGGGGUCUGGGGCCAGACUGUGGAAGGCCCAAAUGCCGGGCUAAGGAGUUUGUACUUAAUUCAGUGGUCAACGGGGAGUCAUUGGAGGCUGUUGAGCAGGAGAGUUGCUUUCUUUACAGCUGUGCCAGACUAAAUUAAACCUAAACAGUACUUUAUAGCUGGAAAGGGAAGGCCCAGGAAUAGCUCUUGACUCAGAAACAGGCAUUGGGGAAGGUAAUGAGAAACAGCCGUGACUGAUCAAAGCAGAGAGGUUAAUUAAAUUUGUAAUUAUUGUGAAAGGCCAUUAAAAACCCUAGUUCACUAGAGAUAACUGCUCUAGUGGGGCUUCAAAGACAAACGCUUCUUUUAACCUUGAAUAGGGGGAUGUUUGCUUCUCUGUGGAGGAGAUAUGAUUAAGAUACUUAAUAAAUGGUAGAUAAACAUGCACACGUGUGUGUUCUCUGUAAACCCACUCUUCGUCCCUGCAUAUAUCUGUGUAGCUAUGUAGGGUGCUCCACAAGAGGGGUCCCCAGCCCCCAGGCCAUAGAGCGUUAUGGGUCCAUGACCUAUUAGGAACCAGGCCACACAGCAGGAGUUGAGCAGAGGGCAAGCAAGCAAAGCUUCAUCUGUAUUUACAGUC
rnacentral:lncRNA from 10 species